AAUUUCUCUCUGGAUCUUCUCGAUCCUUCUCUCAACUACCCCUUUCUCUCUCUUGUUUCUCUCACUAUACUCUCCAUGAUUCUUCAGUUUAAUCUUAACAUUUUCAUGGUAUCAGAGCCUAGACGAUGAUCCGACUAUACUUUUCUGCAUCUUGUUAUCUUGGUUGAAGUCUCGUUUGAGAUUUUUGGGGGUGUUUUCUGACGUAUGUGGUCGAUGACGAUUCCUAUCUAAAUCGGAUAUUUUUCUGAGACUUUCAUCGCGAUAUCUAAGUAUAUCUUCUUCACUCGAUCGUUCUGGGAGAUUUUCCGGUGACUUUUGGGUGAUUUCUCGGUGACUCUCCGGCUUCUAGGGUUUCUGGUGGUUGAACCUACGGUUUUACUGCUAUCUGGUGGCUCGAUCCUCACUCAGUGGAUGUUUUGGGUGACUUUCCGACAUCCCUGACCAUAUUUCCAGUAAGGUUUUCGACGGUUGCACCUAGGGUUUUG
rnacentral:lncRNA from 1 species